AUUGUAAUAGUGGUGAUUUCAACCACUCACAACAACCUGUUAAGAAAUGGCUCUGAUUCAAAAAAAUAGAACAUAUUUGCAAAUAUUUUUCAUGAAGAAAAACAAGCAUUGCAGAAAAUACACAAAGUGUGGUAUAUUCACCCAAGAGGGGGACAACGUGACAACACCGCAUGUAAAUAGGUUAUCAACAAGUAGGGCAGUGGACGUUAAGUCGUCUUUGAGGAAUGACGUGUGAAUACGCAAAUAAACCAUUCAAAGUACUUAGUGUUAGUUUUUUUGCUCAACUAACAAUUCCAAGACACCACACAAAGCUUUUUGAAAGUCGUGCUUGUUCGAAAGUGAUUUGUUUUCUAUUUGAAUCACUCUAGAAUGAAAUCAUUGAAAGAAUGGUUUUGGGAAGUGUUGUUAGGAGGCGACGGGCAGUCGUAUCAUUCCACUUAUUACUGGUGGGAUCAAGCAGCAUCCUCAAACAUCAGUACUUUCUGAUUUUAUCAAGUUCAGAACCAUCAUGACAACAAACUGGCCAGGAAUUAUCUAAGUACUGUGUGAAUUUUCACAAUAACCCCUCAUUUCGGAUGACAUUUGUUAGAAACAAAAACACCGUGACGAAUACCAAGUGAACUAACAAAAAUUAUCAUGGUGCCGAUCUGUUAAUCUGUUCAGGCUAUCUAACUACUUUGAUUUCAGGAUUCUCAGGGACCGGAGAAGAUUUUUGAUAUCGGUCAUUUUGUGUUUCGGCAACACCUUGAUAAUGUGUUAGAAACCAUAUAAAAGGAUGUAUAAACAUUGUUACGAAUAUAGUGUGGUUAGAUAUACAAGUGACAAGUUAGCUGAUGUAGUGAUUAACAGAUUGAAGAAAUUGACCACACGUGAAAGUGAUCAAUAACUGAGAAUCAGCAUGGAAUCAAUAGUGCUUGAAGAAUUUAUGCAUGCAGUGACAUGUCGUUCUUGUUCGUGCAAACUUGAACCUCCUUUAAUGAAAUGCACUUCCGGGCAACACUUCUGUGGGGAGUGUAACAAAUUUCCUGGAACGUGUCCUUCAUGUCAAAAUCCAACUAGGAGAGAUUAUUUGGUAGAACGAUUAUGUUCCACCAAUAUAACAUGUCCUUUCGUGAAGACUGGUUGCGACUUUAUUGGAAAACCUGCAGAGGUUGCAGUUCAUGAACGUUCCUGUUCAGAAUCCUCAGAACCUCAUUCGCAUCAAACCACAAAUUGUGAAUCUACUGGGGAUACUGACGUUGCAGUACCAAGGAAGAAAUGUAUGAAUGAUGAUUCCGCUAAAUCUCUCGAAGACACAGUAUUGGCUGAGCUGCAAUGUCCAGUCUGUCUACUGCGACUUUCACCACCAAUGAAUGAAUGCCACAAUGGACAUCUGAUUUGUCAGGAAUGUCUACCUCAGAUAGUGAGGUAGACCACUUGAAUUGGAAACUGGCAAAGUUACACUCAUGAAAUGAAUACAUUCAAACCUUUUCUGAUGAAUCGAUUAGAAAUUUUUGAUAGUAACUGAAUGUUCAGUUUGGAAUCAU